rnacentral:rRNA from 1 species
AUGUAUGGUGACCGACGCACCUCCGAGUAUAUUGAGGGCCUGCAUACAUUUCUCGAAGUGGCCGAGGCAAACAAGCAGAAUGGUUUUAUGUCUUGUCCAUGCUCUGUUUGUGACAAUACGAAGGAUUACUCUAACUUGAAAACCCUUUAUGUCCACCUGCUUGAGAAGGGUUUCAUGCCACACUAUAAUGUUUGGACCAAGCACGGAGAAAGAGGGGUUAUGAUGGAUGACAACGAAAAAGAAGAGGAUGAUGAAAACUAUCCUAUAUUCCCUGAAUACGGUGAUAGUGCAAUGGGGAAAGCUGAAGAUCAAGAAGCACCAGACGGUAUGCCCGAUGAUGAUCGUAGCUGGGUCAUUGUUGAUGCAAAGAGACAAUGCAAAGUGAAAUGGAGAAGUUGA